rnacentral:sRNA from 1 species
UCUCGGUCAUAGGCGCUGUACAGCUGCU